GGGCAUUUGGUCUAGUGGUAUGAUUCUCGCUUUGGGUGUGAGAGGUCCUGAGUUCAAUGCCCAUUUUUUG
rnacentral:tRNA from 1 species